GACGAACGCUGGCGGCGUGCCUAAUACAUGCAAGUAGAACGCACAGUUUAUACCGUAGCUUGCUACACCAUAAACUGUGAGUUGCGAACGGGUGAGUAACGCGUAGGUAACCUGCCUGGUAGCGGGGGAUAACUAUUGGAAACGAUAGCUAAUACCGCAUAAUAUUGAUUAUUGCAUGAUAAUUGAUUGAAAGAUGCUAUUGCAUCACUACCAGAUGGACCUGCGUUGUAUUAGCUAGUAGGUGAGGUAACGGCUCACCUAGGCGACGAUACAUAGCCGACCUGAGAGGGUGAUCGGCCACACUGGGACUGAGACACGGCCCAGACUCCUACGGGAGGCAGCAGUAGGGAAUCUUCGGCAAUAGACGAAAGUCUGACCGAGCAACGCCGCGUGAGUGAAGAAGGUUUUCGGAUCGUAAAGCUCUGUUGUAAGAGAAGAACGGGGGUGAGAGUGGAAAGUUCACACUGUGACGGUAUCUUACCAGAAAGGGACGGCUAACUACGUG
rnacentral:rRNA from 1 species